rnacentral:lncRNA from 1 species
CGAGGCGCUGGUGCUUCCGGUACCGCGGGACUUCGCCAAGGAGUUUCGGCUUGCGAUGGACUUUCUGUAGGAGCGAGCGGGCCGCUCUUCGUCGGCUGCUGGUGACACGG